AAGAAUCUACUAGUUUACCAUUUCCUAUAGUAGAUCUUUUUCAAAGGUUUGUUUUUCUUAUGCAUCUUUAGUACUUAGGUUCUCUCCUUUUUUGAAAGUGCAGACUGUUUUCACAAAUACCAUGCUUAUUUUUGUUUGGUUUUGUUUUUCUUGUCCUUGGAUGAACAGAGUAUGUUCUUGUAUGACAUGUGCCUGCUAACAGUUGUUGGUGAUUUCUCUUGGGUUCUCUUCAUUGUCCAUUUGACAGAUUUUGGUGGAUCCUCAGAUUUUAAACUGGAGACAAGUGUUGUUGGUGUUCUGAGUCUCUGAAAUUCCUGGUUUUUUAUGUAGGGAGGUCUUUUAUGUAGGAGUCCUUUAUGUAGGGAUGUUCGUCCGGCUUUGGAGAGCUCUAUUUCCUGGUCUAACUGCAUUAUAUUGCUGUGAGUUGGGGAUUAAAUUCCUGGGUAAUUGAAGCAGUCUUUAGUUUUUUUCCUUUGCCCUAAACAGUGAAUAAUGAUCAAUAACCUUCCCACUGCUUCCAGAUCUCUCAGCCUUCGACCUCUACAGUUUCAUUAAUGCCCCUGGAGAUUAAGCAUCACAUUUUGAUAAAUUUCCCAUCCUAGCCACAGUCUGUUUUACAUUUCCUACAGUCAUUGUCUUGCGAUGUGCUAUAGUUUGGACGUCUGUUCCCUAAAACCUCAUGUUGAAGUUUGAUCCCCAAUGUUGAAGGUGGGGCUUAAUGGGAGGUGUUUGGGUCAUGGAGGUAGAUUCUUCAUGAAGGGUUUAUUGCACCUUUGCACUAAUGAGUGAGUUCCUGCUAUAUUGGUUCCUGGUUGUUAAAAAGAGUUGGCACUUAUCCCCUCUCUCUCUUGCCUCCUCUCUCACCAUGUAAUCUCUGGACAUACCAGCUCCCCUUUGCCUUCAGCUAUGAGUGGAAGAAGUCUGAGGCUCUCACCAGAAGCAGAUGCUGACAUCAUGCUUUUUGUACAGCCUGCAGAACUGCAACACAAAAGAGGACCCAAAGCACCAUGGGCAAAUCAUGGAAGAAGAACUGGAAUGCAUAUCUAGUCCACUAUCUGAGCCAAAGACUUCAGCUGGAGAAAGGGAAGACAAGGGUUUAACUGGCAAUUCAAAGGGAGGUGAUCAGCCUUCUGUUACAGAGCUAACUCUGUGUGAAAGGUAAGGAGGCCGUCAUACUGCCCCCUUUGCCUCAUUUACACAAAUAAGUUUAGUUCACUUCUUUACACUGAAAGGUCUACUUCACUAAGGGAUUUUGACUUUAAACUAGAUGAAGGGAUUUCUUAUUCCUGAUCUCUUUUUCUUGUGCUCUGCCUCUGCCGCUCUUUUGCUUCAGCUCAUUUUUUAGUCUGUUCUUUUCUCUCUUUGAAGGUUUCUUAGUAAAAGAGUGUUUGAAUUUUAGCUAUUUUCUCCUCCAACAUGAUCCGGCUAUAUUUUGUCCUCUGUCCAGGAGGCUUUAGACACUGUCUGUAACCAGUGCUGCUCCCGACACAGCUCCACUGCCACCACUAAGAAAGUCAGGAGGCACAGCAGCAGAAUUGGCCCUCCAAAAGCAACAACAGAAAUGCAUUUCUGUACCUAGAGUCUUUACUUUUUAUCCAAGAUUAUUCUAAUUUUUGAAUGAUUUACAUUUCAAACAGUAAUAUUGUAUUUUUCUCAGUUCAUGUGUGCGUGUGCAUGUUUAGUGUAUACUAUGUCAGAAAAAUCAGCUAACACUAAGUCAUGAUGGAAUGUGGAAAAAGGGAUAAUGAUCAUGGAAAUGGCACUGUUUCAAACUGUGUUAUGAUCUUUGCCUUUCUACAUCCUUUGCAAAGGCAGGGAGGGCUGCGCUCUCACAGAGCCAUUUGUGUGCAUCUGUAUGGGAGUGUGUGUAAGUGUGAGGGUGGCAGAGGUUGGGCAUGAGUAUACACAGAAGCAAGGUGCAAAAUAGCUUGAGCUCAGUUUAGGAAAACUUGGGAUAGUUCUAGUUUAAACUAUAAAACGUCGAGUCCAGAAACCACCUUCAACUUUGAAUAUGCUCUCACUACAAAGAAGAAAAAGAAAUGAGAUCAAAUGUCAUAUAUAGCUCAGAUCUCAUUUCCAAAAAUCACAUCUCAUAGUUUUUUGUUUUUUGUUUAUCCUGAAUGUAUACCGUGUAUUUGGCUCUUUUUAAGUACUAAUGGUUUUUUAAAGAGUUGCUUAUAUUAUCUUUGAAACCCCACUUAGCUGAAGGGUAUAAUGCAGAAGGAAUCUGUUAUGCUUUGGGUUGCUGAAAUCGGGGAAGCAAGGUUUUUAAAAUGGAGUAUUUAUUAAAAAAGCAAAAACAAAACCUUUCAGGUCCUUUUAUGUGUCUUGGCCUUUUACUGACUAGCACCCAUGUUUUGUGUUUCUGAUGCAUACUACCCAUCAUGAAUAACAGAUGUUGGGAGAUUAUUGCAGCCAUGGAGAGUAACUGACAUUGGGAUAGCCCACUCACCAUAAACAGCUAUCAAACUGGGCACAAUAUAUGAGACAACUGUUUAGACAUUUGACAAGAAGCAACACAGGGCUGUGGUCUUAGAAAGGAAACACACAUAGUAAGCUCAGUGAUCACCAUGACUUUCUCUGCCUGGAGGCAGUUUCCAGUUUGCAAAGCAGGAAGGUGGAUCCCAAACAGAGCUUGAUGGUCUUGCUGAAUUUAGGAGGUGGAGAUUGUAGUACAGGGUUGUUGGGUGGAUUGGAAUUUUUAAGGCCAAAGACUACAGAGAAAGGAAUUAUGCAAAAAUGAAAUCUUCCUAGAAAUUGUUUUUAAGUUUUUUGCUAAAUAUUAAGCUGUAAGUGUACAAGAAAAGAGGCAACGAGGCUAGGGAACUGUGAAAGUAAAUAUAGAUUCUAGAGGAUGCACAUUUCUUAAGAGGUGGGGUCAUGACAAGUUUUGCUAAACACAAUAGACAUUCAGUUUAGUUCCUAAAAGUUACAUAUUGGGAAUAGGGCUACCUUAGACUUAGAAUAAGAAAUAAUAUGGACCUCUUUUAGCAAUCAAGUUGAUACACUAUUAAAUAAAUUUCCUGCCACAAUAACACUCAGUUCGCUUUAAGUAAAGAUUUAAAAACAAUUCUGACUCUCAACAACAUAGUGCCUGUAAUGUUUAGCAUAACAUAAAAUAUUACUGAGUGGCAUAGAAACAAGAAAUUGGGUGAUCCGUAACCAGGGGGAAAUAAAAUAUAAUAUAGACAGAUACAGAGACAAAAGAUGUUGGAAUUAGCAAAGAAUUUAAAAUAACAAUUUAAAUUAUGUGUAGGAAUUUAAAGGAAAGGAUGAACAUGAUAAAUAGAUAGAUGGAAAAUUCCAACAGAGAAAUAAAAACUUUAAGAAAUGGAAAUUCUAGAACUGAAAAAUGCAAUAACUGAAAUGAAAAAUUGAUAAUUUAUUCCUCAUAAAUAUUAAAAAUUUCUGCUCAUCAAAAACCUAAAUGGAAGAAAGUAUUUGUGCAUAUAUAUCUGAUUAUGGACUUAUGCCAGAUUAUGUAAAGAACUUUCAUAAAUCAGUUUAAAAAACCCCAAACAACACUAUUUUUAAUAAAUGGACGGAAGUCUUGAACAGGUACUUACAAAGGGAGACAAAUGUCACAUAAAAACAUGUUCAACAUCACUAGUCAUUAGGCUUAUGAGAAUUGAAACCACAAUGAGAUAUUAGUACAUACUUAGAUAAAUUUUAAAAUGCUGAAAAAAAUAAUAUGUUGAUACUGACAUGUAUUUAUAGCAACCAGAAACCUCAUAUGUUGGAAGAAGUGCAAAACUGAUACAUCUAAUUUGGAGCUCCAUUUGGCAGAUCUUUUAAAGUUACAGUUACCUACCCUAUGAUUCAGCAAUUCUACUCUUAGGUAUUUAUCCAACAAAAAUAAAAACAUACAUUGAAAAAUACUCGUUCAAUAAUGUUCAUAGAAGUUUCAUUUAUAAUAACCUGAAAUUAGAAACAAUUCAAAUGUUCGUUGAUGAGUGAAUGCCUAAUCGAUUUGAAUAGAGGCAAUGAAAUAUUACUCAGCAGUGAAAUAAAAGAACUACUGUACAUGUAAACACAUGAAUUACUUUGAAAACCAUUAUGCUGAAUGACAGAAGUCAAUCACAAAAGUGUCUAUUUCCACGUUUUAGUGUAAUUUUAGAGAAGACAAAACUGAUCUAUGGUAUGAGAAAUCAGAACAGUGGUUGCUUCUUGUGGAAAGAGGGUUGAUAGGGGAACACAAUGAGUGGGUAGGAGUUUCUGGGAUGAUAGAAAUGUUCCUUAUUAUAAUAGAUUUGUGGGUUACACAAGUGAGUGUAUCCACUGCUCAAAAUGCAUCAAAUUGUCACAUAGGUCUGUGUGCAUUUUAUUGUAUGAAAAUUAUACCUCAAUUUAAGAUUGAGGUACAUGUGGCAUCAUUCAAUUAUUUUUAUUUUCUUUGUGAUUUCAGAUAAACUUUGCAGUUGUCUAUUUGUGCCUAUAGUUUGAAAUCUGUAAGCUAAAUAGGAUAUUUUAAUUUUUGUAAGUUUCUCUUAACAAUAUGUCACUCUACAAAUGAUUUAUUUCAAGUCUUGGGUAUGUCUAAUAGAGACACAAACACAUUUUUCUGGCCCACCUAAUUAUAAGAUAGUAAAUAGCUGUCUCACAACAUAAAUGUAGAUGACAAUGUAUUAUUGCCCUAGCAUAAGCUCAAAGAAAUUAGUCUUACAUGCUAGAAAAUGGUCAGGAUCUAGUGGGCUGCAUUAGAAAAUGUGCACUCACAUAUAUAGUCACUCAACAAGAGCCCUACAAAAUUGCCAAGGGUCACACUUCUGGCAUUUUCAUUUCCGAUCACUUUAGCAAUUUUUACCUAUGACUUCUGUUUCAACAAAUGCUCCCACCGUUUUCUUGGAUGGGGACAAGGGGUACAGUCUUAAAAGACAAAUCUGACCUAAGAAUUUUGCCAGAGAGGAGAGAAAAGAAAGAAACUAAGAAUGAGACUGUUAAAAAAAAUUCUUUUAAGUAUACAGUAAAAGGACAAAAAAAAAAAAAAAUCAAAAAAGAAUCAAAAGUACAGGUUGGUGCUACAAGGCAGGGAUGAGUGACACCUAACCCCUACCAUGCCAUGGCAAACUAUACAAAUGUGUCUCAUUGCUGCACCAUUUCUGGGGAUAGUAGUUUUGCCCACUCUUUAGUCUCCAAGUGUUUCCAUUAUAGCUCCCUAUUUUUAGGAGUUAAUAGCUAGGCUAUAAUAAUUUGCUUCAGGCUGGCAUACCAGGUCUCAGUCAGGGAGUACAUUUACAGUAAUAGAAUACAGUGUAUUUCAGAUGCUUUUACUGUGUAUGUGUGUGUGUCUGUGUAUGUGUGCAUGCUCCUGUAAU
rnacentral:lncRNA from 1 species